ACUACUGGCUUCCCCCCUCAAAUCGUAUAAUAUCUUCGCCUUUUACUAAAGAUUUCCGUGGAGAGGAAAAUAAAGAGUGUAUGUUAAUUUUUAAGGGCCUCUCAUGGCC